rnacentral:hammerhead_ribozyme from 1 species
ACCCAGAUGAUGAGUCCCAAAUAGGACGAAAUGCGCAUCCUGGAU